rfam:Jatropha curcas cultivar GZQX0401 scaffold905_10, whole genome shotgun sequence.
UCCAUUAAAGAUGAUAAUGAUGAAACUCAAAAAUCUUAGGACACCUUCUGACACAGUUUUACGCUGUGCAUGAGAAUAAGAUUUUCGUUUCUGAUAUUCGA